GAUGAACGCUGGCGGCGUGCCUAAUACAUGCAAGUCGAGCGAACGGACGAGAAGCUUGCUUCUCUGAUGUUAGCGGAGGACGGGUGAGUAACACGUGGAUAACCUACCUAUAAGACUGGGAUAACUUCGGGAAAGCGUAGCUAAUCCCGGAUAAUAUUUUGAACCGCAUGGUUCAAAAGUGAAAGACGGUCUUGCUGUCACUUAUAGAUGGAUCCGCGCUGCAUUAGCUAGUUGGUAAGGUAACGGCUUAUCAAGGCAACGAUGCAUAGCCGACCUGAGAGGGUGAUCGGCCGCACUGGAACUGGGACACGGUCCAGACUCCUACGGGAGGCAGCAGUAGGGAAUCUUCCGCAAUGGGCGAAAGCCUGACGGAGCAACGCCGCGUGAGUGAUGAAGGUCUUCGGAGCGGAAAACUCGGUUAUUAGGGAAGAACAUAUGUGUAAGUAACUGUGCACAUCGUGACGGUACCUAAUCAGAAAGCCACGGCUAACUACGUG
rnacentral:rRNA from 1 species